UUACGGGAGGCAGCAGUGAGGAAUAUUGGUCAAUGGGCGAGAGCCUGAACCAGCCAAGUCGCGUGAAGGAAGAAGGAUCUAUGGUUCGUAAACUUCUUUUGCAGGGGAAUAAAGUGCAGGACGUGUCCUGUUUUGUAUGUACCCUGAGAAUAAGGAUCGGCUAACUCCGUGCCAGCAGCCGCGGUAAUACGGAGGAUCCGAGCGUUAUCCGGAUUUAUUGGGUUUAAAGGGUGCGUAGGUGGUUUGAUAAGUCAGCGGUGAAAGUUUGCAGCUUAACUGUAAAAAUGCCGUUGAAACUGUCGGACUUGAGUGUAAAUGAGGUAGGCGGAAUGCGUGGUGUAGCGGUGAAAUGCAUAGAUAUCACGCAGAACUCCGAUUGCGAAGGCAGCUUACUAAGCUACAACUGACACUGAAGCACGAAAGCGUGGGGAUCAAACAGGAUUAGAUACCCUCGUAU
rnacentral:rRNA from 1 species